rnacentral:sRNA from 1 species
UAAAGAAGAUUUGGAAGCCACAGUCGCA